rnacentral:rRNA from 1 species
UACGUAGGGUGCAAGCGUUAAUCGGAAUUACUGGGCGUAAAGCGUGCGCAGGCGGUUUUGUAAGACUGUCGUGAAAUCCCCGGGCUCAACCUGGGAAUGGCGAUGGUGACUGCAAGGCUAGAGUUUGGCAGAGGGGGGUAGAAUUCCACGUGUAGCAGUGAAAUGCGUAGAGAUGUGGAGGAACACCGAUGGCGAAGGCAGCCCCCUGGGCCAACACUGACGCUCAGGCACGAAAGCGUGGGGAGCAAACAGG